rnacentral:lncRNA from 1 species
GGGACGGAGGGAGUACUAUUUUUAUUACUCCAGUAUUUGUUUUUUUAGAGAAGACAUUAGAUUUUCACUUUACAGCUUGACAAAAUGGGCUAAAAUGCGGUAGCCACGUUUUGGACCAAAUAAAACACGCCAACACUAAAAUAAAUUAAAAUAAACAUUUUAAUUAGAGCAAAUAAAAACAUUAGAUUUUAUCUUUCUCUCUCUCUCUCUCCACUGUAACUCUCUCAAAUCAUUAUCUUUCCUCUGUAGAUAUUUCUCUCUCAUCUGUUAUAUGUCUAUCCCUCCCUCACCACGCAAACUCUCCCUCUCUCUCCUCUCCUCUCCGCUUCAUCCUUUUCCUCCGUCAACCCUUGCCGUCCGAUUACUCUCACCGCUGUCGCCGCCUGUACAAUAUUUUCCCCUUAAUCUCCACCCACCCAGAUCCUCAUCUUGGCUGAACAUCCAACAACCAAAAUAGACACCGCCACCGACCUCGUCUGGUUUCGCCAUACACGAGCCUCACCGCUCUCUCUUCAUCUGAAUUGACAACAAUUUUAACCGUUUACCGUUGCGGUGCGAAAUUUUCGGGAGUUCUGAUUUUGGAAAAGGGCAGAGUGAGAUCUAUGUUUAGUGAGAGAAAAUGAGUUUGCAAAUUUAAAAGAAGAUAAACAGGAGAGGAAAAAGGGUGCCGGCUUCAAAGAAUUGUAAAUUAAAUAGCCACAGAUGGGUUGAAAUUUCAUCAAGAAUCAAAACAUCCUAGAUUGAAAGUGCAUUUUCCUGGGAUUUCCUCCAAAGAAAGAGCGUAAAUUAGUGUAUCCAAAGUUAAAAAAAAAUAAAAGAAAAUAUAAAAGUACUGUUCAUAAAAAGUGUGUAAAAUCCUCGUGAUUUCGAACCCGUUGAGAUUUGACUGAAUAGUGCAAAACAAGAGUCCGAAAACCGGUGGUAUGGUUUAUUACAAAAUCGGUCUGGGUUCUCGAAAAACAAACUCAAAUGAUUUAUCUCAUAAAUGACGUGUCACGCGAUCAACGGCAGUGCGUUUUACGCCUCGACCU